AACGAACGCUGGCGGCAUGCCUAACACAUGCAAGUCGAACGAGACCUUCGGGUCUAGUGGCGCACGGGUGCGUAACGCGUGGGAACCUGCCUUUAGGUUCGGAAUAACUCAGAGAAAUUUGAGCUAAUACCGGAUGAUGUCUUCGGACCAAAGAUUUAUCGCCUUUAGAUGGGCCCGGGUUGGAUUAGCUAGUUGGUGGGGUAAAGGCCUACCAAGGCGACGAUCCAUAGCUGGUCUGAGAGGAUGAUCAGCCACACUGGGACUGAGACACGGCCCAGACUCCUACGGGAAGCAGGAGUGGGGAAUAUUGGACAAUGGGGGAAAGCGUGGUCCAGCAAUGCCGCGUGAGUGAUGAAGGCCUUAGGGUUGUAAAGCUCUUUUACCCGAGAUGAUAAUGACAGUAUCGGGAGAAUAAGCUCCGGCUAACUCCGUG
rnacentral:rRNA from 1 species